UAGUCCUAUGAGAGCACCUGAAG
rnacentral:piRNA from 1 species